ACCCUUGGACCCGUGCCCGGCACACAGUGGUAUGUGAGCAGGGAAAGAUAGCUCUUCAUCAGAGAUGAAGGUGCUCUUGCUGAGAGACUCCAGAUCUGACACAAGUUCCUCGUUUCCUGGCGGCUUGGAGGGCAUUUUGGAAGAGGGAGCAAGCAGAAAGAGGUUUAAGGGCUGGAGGACGCAGGGGAGCAAACAUUGCGCUCUGGACCUGAGCUUGUAAACUCUCAGCAGCCGCAGUCACCUGCACAAGAUCAAGGCAGAAAGAUCACUCAACGUUCCAGCAGGAAGCACUUGAACUGGACUUGGUGCCGUGACCAGGUCCCUAGAACACCCAUGCCACCUCUGAUGGCCCUGCUCUGGACUUCAUCAUUGGAGGUGAUUGUGCGUCUGACUGUCGCCUUAGACUGGCCCAACCUGUCACAGUCCUCUCAAGUAUCCAUCUCAAGGUCAGAUAUACAAGAAGCCUUAGACACUUCAAUGGGUAAUAUGAAUGGAUGAAGUAUGGGUGACUGAAUGGCCUGGUGCAAUGAGAUGGUAUAUACACAGUUCCCUGUCCAGACGAGGAAAGAUGUGACCUGCUCCUCUUCAGUGUCUACCAGAGCACCUGUCUCUGUUCUACCUGGCUUAGCUCCCAUUCCAUGCCAAAGUGGACACAGCUCUGAAAUGACAGGGCCUGGCAUCCCCAAGUCCCCAGAAGACAUUCCUGAGUGCUGAGUGCAUUUUCAUUUCUGAAUGAAUGAAGGAGACUUCACUGGAUCUCUCAGAACUGGAUGGCCUCCGAGCCCCACAAUGUCAGCAGCCGGAGC